rnacentral:ribozyme from 13 species
CAACCCACAUAUACAAAAAAGGAUGAUUUCUCCCCGCAUCAAGAAUAAAAACAUCUCCAUGAUUCAAAGAAGAAGAAAUUGGUUCCACUUUUUUGAUAUAUGCUCUUCUUUUCCCCUUUAUUUGGUACAGGUUUAUUGUUUGUUCUUUUUCUCCUGAUUUGGGGUCUUUUU